UUGGGCGGCCAAAGCAUCAUUUUAGUGCCUUUUCAUUUGGAGAGAGAGAGAGAAACUGAGAACCAGAAAGAGAGAGAAAGUGCAGGAGAAAGAAAGAAAGAUGGUUCUCGGCAACAUCUGGCGGUGGCAUCAGCAACGACCAUCCUCUUUUCAUUCGAUUUGUAUUCCAAUCCCUAUGAAUUUAAGAUUUGGAUUAAACCCUAAACGAAACAUGGCAAUUUAUGUAAAGCCUAGCGAUUGAUUUCUGUCAUUCUAAUUAGGUUACCACAUCACGAAAUCAUUAUCAGCCUCCUCUCCUCCUAACUGCGUUUGAUUCCUUUCAAAACCCUAGCUGUGUUCGAUUGAUCUACGGUUUGGUUGUGGGUGGAAGAUGAUGAAGAUGAUGAAGAUGUCACAGAUCUACCGUUUGGUGGCCAGAUUGAUAUAUGUUGGAGGUUAAAGAAUGGGUUCAAGCUCAGUUGGGUCGGAUUGAAGAAGAAACCAGACGUUUAGCUUCCAUUCAAGAGGUAUCCGGUGCCGCAGCGGGCGGAAAGUUAUGGAUGCAAUGAAGAGUAUUUUGGAUGGUGGAUUAGAGAGAGGAAAGUGGGUGUUUGAAUCAAUUAUGAAAUUGAAAAGCUCUGUCUGCCACAAAGGUUAGUGGCCCUUCAGGGCAAAUGACUUCUAACAAGCCGAAAGUUUGUUGUGAAUGGGAUCACAAAUGGCAUUGAUGUUACUGAAUGGGAUCACAUAGACCAGACCCAUUUAAGAAGGCCAAUCCACGACCUGUUCUGUUUGAUGAUUCUCAACUUUGCAUUAUAUAGAUUGGGUGCAGAUGAAGCUCCGAACAAAUUAAUCAUCCCAUCCGUAUUACCGAAUACGCAUGCAACCCUGUACAUUCGCGUAGUAAAAUGGCUGAACUUUUAUUCGAGAUGUACGGAGUUCCUUCUAUAGCUUUUGGUGUUGAUGCUGUUCAGCUAUAAGUACAAUCAAAACCUUGGAAUUUGUGAUAGAGAUGGUCUUGCAAUUUGUUCAGGAUUUACCACAAGCCGUGUGAUCCCAUUUAUUAAUGGAGAGUCUGUUUAUGAAGCGUCCUGCCGUACCAAUGUUGGUGGUUAUCAUGUCACUGAUUACCUACAGCAACUUCUCUCACUUAAGUAUCCUUACCACAUGUAAUUUAACCAAAUAAGCUUUAUUUGCAACCCUAUCUUAAAAACAUGUAUAAAUCUAAAUAAUUUACUACUGAGAUCAUAUGUACAUUCAACCAAAUAAGCUUUAUUUACUAUCGAGACCUUUUUUGGUCUAGAUCUGCUCAGUUACAACCUACUUUGAUUAAACAUUGAUAUUUUUUUUAUAAUUCGGAUGAAAUUAUAAGUUUAAUUGGUCCUUAUAUUAUCUUAAAUUGUCAACGAUGGGCAACAAGUUAACGAGGCCGAUGUGAUGAGAAAUGGCAAGGUGUUUAUGUGUGUUUUUUUCAGAAAAAGACGGUGAUAUAAAUAAAUUAGGCAGUGGAAAAAGAACUUCUCAGUAGUAGUCAUCUGGUAAAACAUCAUAACAUAAUGCUGGUUUCUUUAACUUAUUGUAAAAACAAAAAUAUUCAGUUCCCUUUUGCAGAGCUUGCAAAUGAUGUCUUGCACUAACACCAAAAUAACUCAUAGAAAAAAUGUCAGGCGGUAAAAAACGUGUAUAAGGCGGCGCCUCUAGGGGUUAUGGGACAAGCACUAUGUUUUGGAGCCUACAAAGAGUCCCCACUGCCAUCUUAAGAAAAGGGGAUCUCAAGCCUGAAAAUUUCUUGCUUUCUACCAAGGAUGAAAAUGCAAUGUUGAAAGCAACGAAUGUCGGGUUAUCCGUGUUCAUCGAAGAAGGUAUAAAUUUCGGCGUCUACGACGGACAUGGUGGACCGGAGACGUCAAGAUUCAUUAACGAGAACCUGUUCGCAAAUCUCAAGAGUAAGUUCGGUUAAACGAUUUCAAGAAUUCGAUUUGAAACUAAUGUUUCUGGUCAUAGGAUGGAUCUCAGUAUUGAAUCGUCAUAGGAUGGAUCUCGGUUUUGAAUCGUCACACCUAAGAAAAUGGCAUAAUAGCCUUGAUGAAGAUAAAGACUCGGACAUGUCGGUGAUUAUAUAUUUUAUGUUGACGUUAUAAAAAAACCUUAAUUUUGUCAUUUGAUGUUUGUAUGCUCUGGUGUUGAUGACUAGACACCUUCAUUGUUAUACUUUUAACAAUUUAGCCAUUUAA